rnacentral:rRNA from 1 species
CGAUAGUGAACCAGUACCGUGAGGGAAAGGCGAAAAGAACCCCGGCGAGGGGAGUGAAAAAGAACCUGAAACCGUGUACGUACAAGCAGUGGGAGCCCCACCACUAAGCCAGUGGUGAACUCCACAUCCGCAUCCUUUGCUGAGGAUACGGUUAACGGAGCGAAAGCGACGUUCAACCGCAAAACAAGCAGAGGGGGCUUAGUGGUGGGGUGACUGCGUACCUUUUGUAUAAUGGGUCAGCGACUUAUAUUCUGUAGCAAGGUUAACCGUAUAGGGGAGCCGGAGGG